UGGGGAAUCUUGCACAAUGGGGGCAACCCUGAUGCAGCGACGCCGCGUGAGCGAUGAAGGUUUUCGAAUCGUAAAGCUCUGUCCUAUGGGAAGAUAAUGACGGUACCAUAGGAGGAAGCCCCGGCUAACUACGUGCCAGCAGCCGCGGUAAUACGUAGGGGGCGAGCGUUGUCCGGAAUUACUGGGCGUAAAGGGUUCGCAGGCGGCAUGGCAAGUCCGAUGUAAAAGGCGAAGGCUCAACCUUCGUAAGCAUCGGAAACUGUCAAGCUUGAGUGAAGGAGAGGCAAGGGGAAUUCCUAGUGUAGCGGUGGAAUGCGUAGAUAUUAGGAGGAAUACCGGUGGCGAAGGCGACUUGCUGGACUUCAACUGACGCUGAGGAACGAAAGCGUGGGUAGCAAACAGG
rnacentral:rRNA from 1 species